rnacentral:tRNA from 1 species
GGGCGUAUAGCUUAACGGCAAAGUAGCUGGCUCUUACCCAGUAGCAUCCGGGUUCAAAUCCUGGUGCGCCCG